rnacentral:misc_RNA from 1 species
CCGCCCUUUUCUUCUCUUAUCACGAAAAAGAAAAUCGGACAGGAAAGGAUUACGCAAGGCUCUUUUUCUUCACCAGUAACGAGUUGAACGAACACAUAACGAGGAGCAAAGCAGACAAGAGAAAGAAAACAGGGAACGUUUUGAUUCUGCGUUCUUCGAAGUGCAGCGCCGUGCAGCUCAGCAACUCUUGCGCUCACUUGAACACGUCCCGUGCCACAUAUCCUCCUGUGGUUCGCAGUUGUCGUCCUCACCGCCAAUCGUGCCAGUUUCUUUUUUUUUGUAUGUGAGUGUGCAACAGUUUGGCCCACUCACAGAGACUCGCGCGUACGGACGCACCCAUCAACACAGAUACACGUGCACUUGUACAAGCGCCGAUCAUCAUCGCAACGUACUCCCUUCUCCCCCCCCCCUAGCGCUAGGGUGCUGUUGCCGCACUGUAUACGACCGGCUCUGGUGACGUUCUUUUUCCUUUCUCCUCCGCGGCCUCCGCUCCUCUGCUCUCUCCAUCUCUCCCCCUCCCCCCUCUCCCUCCCCGUGUGUGUGUGUGUUCUUUGCGUUUACCUUCGUUUUUAUUUAUUUGUGUGUGUGUGUGUGUGUGUGUGUGUUGACGAGCCUGGCGGAGGCGAUUGCUUCCUCGGCUCUUUUUUUCUCCCUGGCGCGUUGAGUGUUCUGUGCUUUGGUGCGGCAGCGGCCAACAACGAGCAACGAGCAAGAAAACAAAGAAAAGGAAAACGAAAAGAGGGACGAACAAGAGGUGAGCACACCGUCGCAGUAGCUGUCCUCAGCCCACCCACCCCGACGACCCCGGGCAGGCACACAAACACGCAGACGCGGACAAACAUACACGCAGCCACCUUUCUCAUCUACUCGCGAGCUGUGUCACGCUCCCUCACACACACUUUCUGUUUCGUUUUUUCUCCUGCGUCUGCAUAUUCUUCGGUAAUUUCCCCUCUUUUUCCUCCUUCCUUUCUGCGUUUUGUUGUUUUUUUUUUUGCUCUUUAUUUCUUUGGAUUUUCACUCUUGUUUUCGCACCUUAUCCACGCAAGCAGAGGUGGUGGUUACGGUGGCGUUCGAAGUGCGCGCUUGCGUGCGUGCGUGUGUGUGUGUGUGUUUGUGUGUGUGCGUGUGUCGGUGACAGCAGAAGUCGCGUCUUUUGGCGUCUCUUUCCCACUCUUACUUCCUCACCCUCCUGCCUCCGCUGUCUUUGUCGUCUGUCGUCUUUUGUUUUUUUUUUUGCCAGAAUCACCUCCGCCCUCCUCUCCACUUUGCCUCUCUGUCUGCCUGCCUGCCUGCCUGCCUGUGUGUGUGUGUGUGUGCUUGCGUCUUGGUUUUAGGCCGUUCUGUCUUCCUAGUCUUCUACUUGUGCAUCCCCCUCUCACCAUCACUCUCCGCAAACAGUCAACCCGUUCAGGUCUUUUGCGUUUCCCCUUGUACGUUGGCGUGCCUCUUUUCUCCUCAUCUCCCUCUCGCCGACGAACACACCCAAGCAUACGCGGUGCCCUCUCUCGAGGUUCAAGGUGGUGCCUCUCCCUCUUCACGCUUGUUGUUUCUAUCUCUCUUUUUCUUUCUCCGUUGCCUCUGCGUGAGCUUGUUCACGCGUGUGAGAGCCUGUUUCCUCAUCAUUCUUGUCCGUCUGCGUGUGCUGGUGUAUCUCUCUCCUAGGCCUCAGCUGCAGCUGCUUUGCAAGGUUUUGUUUAUUAUUUUACGUUUUCGCUGUUGUGGUUGUUGCAUUACUCGGGUUGAAAGAAUCAGUCGUCUUAGAUCAUCGCCUUCGCAGGAUAUCCCCUUACGCGCCCCUCCCCUCCUCUUCUUUUCGCGCUACGGCAUGUCAGCCCCAUCUUCAGUUCCUCCCCACAAAAUGGCGAAUUUGCACAAGCUGCAGCGUGCCUGGACACUCUGGUACGAUAGCCCGUCUACGUACAACACUGAAAACUGGGAGAUGUCGUUGGUGCCCAUCAUGACCGUGCACUCCGUGGAGGAGUUCUUCGUCAUGCUCAGGUACAUGAAGCCUCUGCAUGCCUUGCGCACCUCCUCGCAGUACCACUUCUUCCAGGAAGGCGUUAAGCCGAUGUGGGAGGACCCGGCGAACAAGAAGGGCGGCAAGCUCUGGGUAAACCUUGAUAUCACCAGCGCCAAUGGUCGGAGCAGCAACAACACCAGCGGCACCGCGGCAGCCGACGGCAGCGCGGCGGAGGCCAAGACGGACCUCGACAAGGCGUGGGAGAAUGUUCUGAUGGCCACCGUGGGCGAGUAUCUCGACUGUGUAGAAAAGAAGGACACAUCAGCGGAGCCGUUCGUGACGGGCAUUGUCAUGUCAAAGCGAAAGUACCACAACCGCCUCGCCGUGUGGGUGAGCGAUGCGUCCGCAACGGGCAAGAUCGAGGCGCUAAAGAAGGCGCUAACAAAGGAGGCGAGUCUGGCGCCGAUCGCAUCCAUUGUCUUCACAAAACACGGCGAGGCGUCUUAGCAGUGGGCGCCUGUACGGAUCAUCUUGCUGUGGUUGAUGUUUGCUUGUCUACACGUUGUGGUGUUUUUCUUUUAUUAUUCAUUUUAAGAAAGAUUUAUAUCUGUGUGCGUAUAUAUAUGCACACACACACACACAGAUAUACAUGUGUGUGCGUGUGUGUGUACGUCUGUGUGUGCCAUUGUUGUUCUUUUGUAAUUUGUCCUUUGGCGCUUCACCCACUCUGUGGCCUGUUGUCGGGCAUGUUGUCGUUGUACGCGUUGAUGCCAGGGACCUCCUCUCGUUUUGUUUUGUUAUCGUGCAUGCGCCAAUGCACUCACAUGAAGCAGUGCGAGGAAGCCUCUCUUUGUGUGGAUAUGGGCUUUGUGGCGUACUAGAAAGGCAGGGAUGCAGACGGGCAGCGUCUCGCCAGCCGUGCGGGAGGCGACCACAUGUGCGCUACUGUAUGUAAGAUCUCCUCGCAGCCCCGUCCCUCCUCCAUUCACCUCUGUCUCCCACCUCGGCUUUAUCUUCUCCUGCCGCCACCGAUAAUGUGCGUUUGUGUGUGUGUGUGUGUGUGUGUGUGCUUCUCCCCAG